UACGGGGGGGGCAAGCGUUGUUCGGAAUUACUGGGCGUAAAGGGCUCGUAGGCGGCCAACUAAGUCAGACGUGAAAUCCCUCGGCUUAACCGGGGAACUGCGUCUGAUACUGGAUGGCUUGAGUUUGGGAGAGGGAUGCGGAAUUCCAGGUGUAGCGGUGAAAUGCGUAGAUAUCUGGAGGAACACCGGGGGCGAAGGCGGCAUCCUGGACCAACACUGGCGCUGAGUGAGCGAAAGCCAGGGGAGCAAACGGG
rnacentral:rRNA from 1 species